AGCUGUGGAUGAGAAAAGAGGAUUGGGUGAGGUGAUAAGCAAAAGCAAAAGCAAAAAAACAAAACAAAACAAAAAAACCCCAAACACCCUGGGAUUGGCAGGAGCCUGCAGAGAACAGGGAUUCUCAGCCAGACCGUGCUGACCAUGCUUUCACUUGUCAAGUAGAUUUCUGUAAAGGUAUCAAUGAGAUGAAAUUCUGGCUUUCUCUUGCAUUGCAUGGAUGUGUGAUUUCCCACUGCCAGAAUUAAUUCAAGGCUAAGCCUCCUAGAGGAGAACAAGAAAAACCCAGUAAAGAAGAGUUUAUACGCCUGAGUUUAUACACCCGACACGUGCUGAUCAGGAUAAACAGAACUGAGUGAGGCCACUACUUGGACAGAGGCUGUUUUCCCAAGGAAGAUAGAAGAGAACCCUGUUCCUUUGGAAUAGAAGAAUAGAACGAUUCAACAUGGCUUUUGGCUCUCAGGAAAUAAUUUUUUUUAAUUUUUUUUUAGGAAAUUAAUUUAUAAGGGACACUUCAUGCCAUGCUCUUUAACUUAAUUAGGAUGAACUCAGGGCAUAAAAAGUACUGCAUGCUCAAAUUUACAACUAGGUAUGCGGGGGUAAAAAUGCCUGACAUAUUUAGAGCAAUUAUAGAAUGAGAAAUGUGGGAUUUCCUAAAAGUAUCUUGAGAGCAGUUUCCAGAAGCCUGUUAAUUAUGUUUUCAAUUCAUGUGUGUGUGUGUGUGUGUCACUGAACCUAGAGCCCAGUAAAUGUUCAAUUGUAAACACAUGGUUCAUAACUGAGCUGCUACCCAGUCCUGUUCAUUUUCUUGUAAAGCUGCCACUCAAUUUAAAACUUGGUGUGAAAAAGCAGAUGCAGCUGUUUAGUAAUUAAUUACAAAUAAGGCUUUAGAGCCUUUUGAAGAAGAUGAACCUUUAUCUCCAAGAGAAUGCCAUUUUCUAUGAAGCGCCAGUAAUGGCUAUUGAGCAUUCCAGCAAAUGUUUACCCAGAGCUUCUCCUAUGCACAUUGUAUCAGGAGCUAAAGGUGCAGACAACAGCCCUGACCUUAAACUACUGGGACUGUGUGGAUGAAUAAGUAACAAGUCCUAUCUCUAUGGCAGCAGCUGCCUCCUUCCCAUUGCUUAGGUCCAAACCUGAGAACUGUUGACUCCUUUUGACUCUAAAGACAGCUUUGACCUUUGCCUUUCUCACUUUUCUCCCCUCUCUCCCUCUC